CGUAGGAAUCUACCUCUAGGUGGGGGACAACUCGGGGAAACUCGAGCUAAUACCGCAUAAUAUCUACGGAUCAAAGUGGGGGAUCUUCGGACCUCACGCCAAGAGAGGAGCCUGCGUUGGAUUAGCUUGUUGGUAGGGUAAUGGCCUACCAAGGCUACGAUCUAUAGCUGGUCUGAGAGGACGAUCAGCCACACUGGAACUGAGACACGGUCCAGACUCCUACGGGAGGCAGCAGUAGGGAAUCUUGGGCAAUGGGCGCAAGUGACCCAGCCAUGCCGCGUGUGCGAAGAAGGCCCUAGGGUUGUAAAGCACUUUCAGUCGCGAAGAAAAGCUUGAAGUUAAUACCUUUGAGUCUUGACGUUAACGACAGAAGAAGUACCGGCUAACUCCGUGCCAGCAGCCGCGGUAAUACGGAGGGUACGAACGUUAAUCGGAAUUACUGGGCGUAAAGCGCGCGUAGGGGUUUGUUAAGUGGGAUGUGAAAGCCCCGGGCUUAACCUGGGAACUGCAUUCCAAACUGGCAGGCUAGAGUAUGGUAGAGGGAGGUAGAAUUUCCUGUGUAGCGGUGAAAUGCGUAGAUAUAGGAAGGAAUACCGAUGGCGAAGGAGCCUCCUGGACCAAUACUGACGCUGAGGUGCGAAAGGUGGGGAGCAAACAGGAUUAGAUACCCUGGUAGUCCACGCCGUAAACGAUGAGAACUAGCCGUUGGGGCCCUUGAGGCUUGGUGGCGCAGUAACGCGAUAAGUUCUCCGCCUGGGGAGUACGGCCGCAAGUUAAAACUCAAAUGAAUUGACGGGGGCCCGCACAAGCGUGGA
rnacentral:rRNA from 1 species